rnacentral:rRNA from 1 species
GACGAACGCUGGCGGCGUGCUUAACACAUGCAAGUCGAACGGAAAGGCCCUGCUUUUGUGGGGUGCUCGAGUGGCGAACGGGUGAGUAACACGUGAGUAACCUGCCCUUGACUUUGGGAUAACUUCAGGAAACUGGGGCUAAUACCGGAUAGGAGCUCCUGCUGCAUGGUGGGGGUUGGAAAGUUUCGGCGGUUGGGGAUGGACUCGCGGCUUAUCAGCUUGUUGGUGGGGUAGUGGCUUACCAAGGCUUUGACGGGUAGCCGGCCUGGGAGGGUGACCGGCCACAUUGGGACUGAGAGACGGCCCAGACUCCUACGGGAGGCAGCAGUGGGGAGUAUUGCGCAAUGGGCGGAAGCCUGAUGCAGCAACGCCGCGUGCGGGAUGACGGGCUUCGGGUUGUAAACCGCUUUCGCCGGUGACGAAGCGUGAGUGACGGUAAUGGGUAAAGAAGCACCGGCUAACUACGUG